UACGGAGGGUGCAAGCGUUAUCCGGAUUCACUGGGUUUAAAGGGUGCGUAGGUGGGUUGGUAAGUCAGUGGUGAAAUCUCCGAGCUUAACUUGGAAACUGCCAUUGAUACUAUCAGUCUUGAAUAUUGUGGAGGUCAGUGGAAUAUGUCAUGUAGCGGUGAAAUGCUUAGAUAUGACAUAGAACACCAAUUGCGAAGGCAGCUGGCUACACAUAUAUUGACACUGAGGCACGAAAGCGUGGGGAUCAAACAGG
rnacentral:rRNA from 1 species